AUAUUAUCAACCUUGCUUGCUUUAUUGUGAGCGAGGCUUGGAUGUGGGGGUUGCUGGCUUCCUUCAGUGGCGGUCGGCUCUCCUUAAAUGCAUUAGCGGGAUCUCUUGUGGACCGUCACUUGGUGUGAUAAUUGUCUUGCCAUCUGACUUCGAAGCAAAUUUAUGGGAACCAGCUUAUAAUCGUCCGCAAGGACAACAUUUAACA
rnacentral:misc_RNA from 1 species